rnacentral:rRNA from 1 species
GCCCUUAGAGUUUGAUCCUGGCUCAGAACGAACGUUGGCGGCGUGGAUUAGGCAUGCAAGUCGAACGAGUUUCAGUAGCAAUACUGGAAUAAGUGGCGAAAGGGGCAGUAAUGUAUGGACAACUCACCCUGAGGAUGGGGAUAGCCAUUCUAACGAAUGAGUAAUACCCAGCGAGAUAGUGUUGUGGCAUCACGAUACUAUGAAAAGAGAUUCGCCUUGGGAGAGGUUCAUAUGCUAUUAGCUAGUUGGUGAGGUAACGGCUCACCAAGGCAAAGAUGGCUAGCGGGUGUGAGAGCACGACCCGCGUCACUGGCACUGAGACACUGGCCAGACAUCUACGGAUGGCUGCAGUCGAGAAUCUUCAUAAAUGGGGGCAACCCUGAACGAGCGACGCCGCGUGUGCGACGACGGCCUUAUUGGUUGUAAAGCACAAAAGUAGGAAUAAACGCCGAAAGGUUUGAUUGAACUACAGUAAGCACGGGCUAAGUUCGUGCCAGCAGCCGCGGUAAGACGAACCGUGCUAACGUUGUUCGGAAUCACUGGGCUUAAAGGGCGCGUAGGCGGGUAAUCAAGUCGAUGGUGAAAUCCGGCAGCUCAACUGUCGAACUGCCUUCGAUACUGAAUAUCUAGAGGGUAGUAGGGGCGUGUGGAACAGUUGGUGGAGCGGUGAAAUGCACAGAUAUCAACUGGAACUCCGGUGGCGAAAGCGACACGCUGGACUUUAUCUGACGCUGAGGCGCGAAAGCCAGGGGAGCAAACGGGAUUAGAUACCCCGGUAGUCCUGGCCCUAAACGAUGGGUACUGGAUAGUAGUCUACACAUGAGAUUACUGUCGAAGCAAAAGUGUUAAGUACCCCGCCUGGGGAGUAUGGUCGCAAGGCUGAAACUCAAAUGAAUUGACGGGGAAGGGC